rnacentral:rRNA from 1 species
GACGAACGCUGGCGGCGUGCCUAAUACAUGCAAGUCGAACGCUUCUUUCCUCCCGAGUGCUUGCACUCAAUUGGAAAGCGGAGUGGCGGACGGGUGAGUAACACGUGGGUAACCUACCCAUCAGAGGGGGAUAACACUUGGAAACAGGUGCUAAUACCGCAUAACAGUUUAUGCCGCAUGGCAUAAGAGUGAAGGGCGCUUUCGGGUGUCGCUGAUGGAUGGACCCGCGGUGCAUUAGCUAGUUGGUGAGGUAACGGCUCACCAAGGCCACGAUGCAUAGCCGACCUGAGAGGGUGAUCGGCCACACUGGGACUGAGACACGGCCCAGACUCCUACGGGAGGCAGCAGUAGGGAAUCUUCGGCAAUGGACGAAAGUCUGACCGAGCAACGCCGCGUGAGUGAAGAAGGUUUUCGGAUCGUAAAACUCUGUUGUUAGAGAAGAACAAGGACGUUAGUAACUGAACGUCCCCUGACGGUAUCUAACCAGAAAGCCACGGCUAACUACGUG